rnacentral:rRNA from 1 species
CCAGACUCCUACGGGAGGCAGCAGUGGGGAAUAUUGCACAAUGGGGGGAACCCUGAUGCAGCAACGCCGCGUGGGUGAAGAAGUACUUCGGUAUGUAAAGCCCCGUCAGCAGGGAAGAAAAUGACGGUACCUGACCAAGAAGCCCCGGCUAACUACGUGCCAGCAGCCGCGGUAAUACGUAGGGGGCAAGCGUUAUCCGGAUUUACUGGGUGUAAAGGGAGCGUAGACGGCAAGGCAAGUCUGGAGUGAAAGCCCGUGGCUCAACCACGGGACUGCUUUGGAAACUGUGUUGCUGGAGUGCAGGAGGGGUAAGCGGAAUUCCUAGUGUAGCGGUGAAAUGCGUAGAUAUUAGGAGGAACACCAGUGGCGAAGGCGGCCUGCUGGACGAUGACUGACGUUGAGGCUCGAAAGCGUGGGGAGCAAACAGGAUUAGAUUCCCCCGUAA